GAUGAACGCUGGCGGCGUGCUUAAUACAUGCAAGUCGAGCGAACGGACGCGAAGCUUGCUUCUCUGUUGUUAGCCGCGGACGUGAGUGUAACACGUGGAUAAUCUACUUAUCAUACUGGGAUAACUUCGGGACUCCGGCGCUAAUACCAUAUAAUCUUUUGAACCUUAUGGUUCAAUAGUGAAAGUCGGUCUUUCUGUCAUUUAUAGAUGCAUCCCCGCUGCAUUAGCUAGUUGGUAAGGUAACGGAGUAUCAAGGCAACGAUGCAUAGACGACCUGAGAGAGUGAUCGGCCACACUGGAAAUGAGACACGGUCAAGACUCCUACGGGAGGCAGCAGUAGGGAAUCUUCAGCAAUGGGCGAAAGCAUGACGGAGCAACGCCGCGUGAGUGAUGAAGGUCUUCGGAGCGUAAAACUCUGUUAUUAGGGAAGAACAUAUGUGUAAGUAACUGUGCACAUCUUGACGGUACCUAGUCAGAAAGCCACGGCUAACUACGUG
rnacentral:rRNA from 1 species